rnacentral:rRNA from 1 species
AUACGGAGGGUGCAAGCGUUAUUCGGAAUCACUGGGCGUAAAGGACGCGUAGGCGGGUUGGCAAGUCAGAUGUGAAAUCCUACAGCUUAACUGUAGAACUGCAUUUGAAACUGCUAACCUAGAGUAUGGGAGGGGGAGAUGGAAUUAGUGGUGUAGGGGUAAGAUCCGUAGAUAUCACUAGGAAUACCGAAAGCGAAGGCGAUCUCCUGGAACAUAACUGACGCUAAGGCGUGAAAGCGUGGGGAGCAAACAGGAUUAGAAACCCUAGUAGUCC